CUCCAAGUCACCAAGUUUCCCCACACAUAGGAACAAUACCCAGUAGUUGACCUCCGAUCUGUCAAGGAUCCUGCCCAAUCAGCAUCUGUGAAUACCUCAACUUCCCUACUUGAGGUUUUCUUGAAGUAGAGUCCUCUACCCGGGCUCUUUUUAAGGUACUGUAAAAUUCUGUAUACGGCUUUCAUGUGUCUUUCAGUGGGAUUGUUCAUGUAGCGGCUUACCAUGCUCACAGCGAAACCAAUAUCAGGCCUUGUGUGAGUUAAGUAGAUCAACUUUCCUACUAACCUCUGGUACCUGUCUUUGUCAGUUGGAUGACUGUCAUUAUCUUUAUCAAUCUUACCAAUAGGAUCCAUAGGUGUGUCCACUGGCUUACAACCUAGCAUUCCAGUCUCCUGAAGUAGAUCAAGGACAUACUUCCUUUGCGUGACCACAAUUCCCUCCUUAGUUCUGCCAAUUUCCAUGCCAAGAAAGUAUCUGAGUUGUCCAAGAUCUUUGAUUUCAAAUUCUCUUGCUAGCAGCUUCUUGAGAUUCCCUAUCCCUUCUUCAUCGUCUCCGGUAAUUAUAAUAUCAUCAACAUAGACAAUGAACAAAGUCAUUUCACCUUCCUUAGAGUGCUUCAUAAACAGUGUGUGAUCUGCUUGACAUUGGAUGAACCCAUGUUUUUUCACAACUCUAGUCAGUCGAUCAAACCAGGCCCUAGGUGACUGUUUUAGACCGUAUAGGGACUUUCUCAGUUUACACACUUUUCCUGAAUUUUCUGGAGUUUCCAUACUAGGUGGAAUCUUCAUGUAGACUUCCUCUUCUAGUUCUCCGUUGAGAAAUGCAUUUUUGACAUCAAGUUGGUGCAGAUUCCAAUCCAAAUUUACUGCAACUGACAAUAACACUCUGAUGGAGUUGAGCUUUGCUACUGGUGCAAAUGUCUCUUCAUAAUCAAUGCCAUAGGAUUGAGUAAAUCCUUUAGCUACUAGUCGAGCCUUGAACCUGUUUAUACUUCCAUCUGGAUUGUGCUUCACGGUAAAUAUCCACUUGCAUCCAACAGGCCUCUUACCCUCUGGUAAUUCUGAGAUUUCCCAUGUCCCAUUUUUCUCUAAUGCUUGUAUUUCUUCCUGAACAGCAGUCUUCCAUUCAGGUUGUUGAAGUGCUUCUUGGAUGUUGGAUGGGAUACGAUCAUCUUCAAGAGAAGUGAUGAACGCUUGGAAAUUCUGUGAAAGCUUUCCAUAGGACACAUGAUUACUGAUUGGAUGCUGAGUGCAGGAUCUUACACCUUUCCUUAAAGCAAUGGGUUGAUCAAGAUCAUCAAGGUCAUUAUUGGAAUUUAGAUCAUAAAUUGUGUUACCUGGUUGUGAGUUUGGGUUGCUUGGAUCCUGGUCCAAUUCUUGGUUCUGCUCAGUUGACUCAGGUAUGACAGAAGGGACAUCCAAGGAAUUGUUUUCGGGGACAGAAAGAGUAGUAUCUGUUUGAGGAGGCAGUGAUGAACUCAAAGGAGAAGUAGUGCUGAUUUCGGUUUCCCAGAAUUGGAAUUCAUCUGUGGACCAAUUCUCCCCCUGAAUUGCAAUUUUGGGGUAGAAGGGUUGAUUUUCGAAGAAAGUGACAUCCAUGGAAAUGUAGAAUUUCUUGGUUGUUGGAGAGUAGCACUUGUAUCCUUUUUGGUUUGGUGAGUACCCGAGAAAGAUGCAUUUAGUGGCUGUCGGAUCAAGUUUACUACGUAGGGACUUAUGGAUGUGAACGAAAGCAGUACAACCAAAGACUUUGAUUGGGAUAGACGAGAUUAUUCGAGCGGAUGGAUAUGCAGCGAGGAGGAUUUGACACGGGGUUUUAAAUUGAAGAAUCCUAGAAGGCAUUCGGUUGAUCAAGUAGGUUGCUGUGAGUACAGCUUCACCCCAUAAUUGUUUAGGCACGUUUGAAGCUAUCAUGAGGGAUCGUGCAACCUCCAUCAAAUGUCUAUUUUUCCUUUCUGCAACUCCAUUUUGCUGUGGAGUAUCAAUGCACGAGCUUUGAUGUACGAUGCCAUUCUCCAGAAGAUAUGACCCAAGAGUGUUGUGAUAGUA